GAUGAACGCUGGCGGCGUGCCUAAUACAUGCAAGUAGAACGCUGAAGCCUGGUGCUUGCACCGAGCGGAUGAGUAGCGAACGGGUGAGUAACGCGUAGGCAACCUGCCUCUUAGCGAGGGAUAACUAUUCCAAACGAUAGCUAAUACCCCAUAAAAGUCGAUAUCGCAUGAUAUUGAUUUGAAAGUUGCAAAUUCAUCACUAAGAAAUGGACCUGCGUUGUAUUAGCUAGUUGGUGAGGUAACGGCUCACGAAGGAGAGGAUACGUAGCCGCCCUGAGAGGGGGAGCUGCCACGCUGGGAUGGGGAGAUGGCCCAGCACACUAGGGGAGGGAGCCGGAGGGAAUCUUGGGGAAUGGGGGCAGUGCUGACCGUGCAACGACGCGUGAGGGAAGAAGGUUGUCGGAUCGUAUAGGUCUGUUGUAAGAGAGGAAUGAGUGUGAGAGUGGAAAGUUCAGAAUGUGACGGUAACGGAAGAGAAAGGGACGGCUAACUACGUG
rnacentral:rRNA from 1 species